rnacentral:rRNA from 1 species
ACGCUGGCGGCGUGCCUAAUACAUGCAAGUAGAACGCUGAAGAGAGGAGCUUGCUCUUCUUGGAUGAGUUGCGAACGGGUGAGUAACGCGUAGGUAACCUGCCUUGUAGCGGGGGAUAACUAUUGGAAACGAUAGCUAAUACCGCAUAACAAUGGGUGACACAUGUCAUUUAUUUGAAAGGGGCAAUUGCUCCACUACAAGAUGGACCUGCGUUGUAUUAGCUAGUAGGUGAGGUAACGGCUCACCUAGGCGACGAUACAUAGCCGACCUGAGAGGGUGAUCGGCCACACUGGGACUGAGACACGGCCCAGACUCCUACGGGAGGCAGCAGUAGGGAAUCUUCGGCAAUGGGGGCAACCCUGACCGUGCAACGCCGCGUGAGUGAAGAAGGUUUUCGGAUCGUAAAGCUCUGUUGUAAGUCAAGAACGAGUGUGAGAGUGGAAAGUUCACACUGUGACGGUAGCUUACCAGAAAGGGACGGCUAACUACGUGCCAGCAGCCGCGGUAAUACGUAGGUCCCGAGCGUUGUCCGGAUUUAUUGGGCGUAAAGCGAGCGCAGGCGGUUUGAUAAGUCUGAAGUUAAAGGCUGUGGCUCAACCAUAGUUCGCUUUGGAAACUGUCAAACUUGAGUGCAGAAGGGGAGAGUGGAAUUCCAUGUGUAGCGGUGAAAUGCGUAGAUAUAUGGAGGAACACCGGUGGCGAAAGCGGCUCUCUGGUCUGUAACUGACGCUGAGGCUCGAAAGCGUGGGGAGCGAACAGGAUUAGAUACCCUGGUAGUCCACGCCGUAAACGAUGAGUGCUAGGUGUUGGAUCCUUUCCGGGAUUCAGUGCCGCAGCUAACGCAUUAAGCACUCCGCCUGGGGAGUACGACCGCAAGGUUGAAACUCAAAGGAAUUGACGGGGGCCCGCA